CAACUUGAGAGUUUGAUCCUGGCUCAGAGCGAACGCUGGCGGCAGGCUUAACACAUGCAAGUCGAGCGCCGUAGCAAUACGGAGCGGCAGACGGGUGAGUAACACGUGGGAACGUGCCUUCUGGUUCGGAAUAACUCAGGGAAACUUGAGCUAAUACCGGAUAAGCCCUUCGGGGGAAAGAUUUAUCGCCGGAAGAUCGGCCCGCGUAAGAUUAGCUAGUUGGUGAGGUAAUGGCUCACCAAGGCUACGAUCUUUAGCUGGUCUGAGAGGAUGAUCAGCCACACUGGGACUGAGACACGGCCCAGACUCCUACGG
rnacentral:rRNA from 1 species